GUAGGUGGCAAGCGUUGUCCGGAAUUAUUGGGCGUAAAGCGCGCGCAGGCGGUUCUUUAAGUCUGAUGUGAAAGCCCACGGCUCAACCGUGGAGGGUCAUUGGAAACUGGAGAACUUGAGUACAGAAGAGGAAAGCGGAAUUCCACGUGUAGCGGUGAAAUGCGUAGAGAUGUGGAGGAACACCAGUGGCGAAGGCGGCUUUCUGGUCUGUAACUGACGCUGAGGCGCGAAAGCGUGGGGAGCAAACAGGAUUAGAUACCCUGGUAGUCCGCGCCGUAAACGAUGAGUGCUAAGUGUUAGGGGGGUUUCCGCCCCCCUUAGUGCUGCAGCUAACGCAUUAAGCACUCCGCCUGGGAGUACGGCCGCAAGGCUG
rnacentral:rRNA from 1 species